rnacentral:rRNA from 1 species
GACGAACGCUGGCGGCGUGCUUAACACAUGCAAGUCGAACGGAAAGGCCUCUUUCGGGGGGUACUCGAGUGGCGAACGGGUGAGUAACACGUGAGUAACCUGCCCUUGACUUUGGGAUAACUUCAGGAAACUGGGGCUAAUACCGGAUAGGAGCUCCUGCUGCAUGGUGGGGGUUGGAAAGUUUCGGCGGUUGGGGAUGGACUCGCGGCUUAUCAGCUUGUUGGUGGGGUAGUGGCUUACCAAGGCUUUGACGGGUAGCCGGCCUGAGAGGGUGACCGGCCACAUUGGGACUGAGAUACGGCCCAGACUCCUACGGGAGGCAGCAGUGGGGAAUAUUGCACAAUGGGUGGAAGCCGGAUGCAGCAACGCCGGGUGCGGGAUGACGGCCUUCGGGUUGUAAACCGCUUUCGCUCAUGACGAAGCUUUGUGUGACGGUAGUGGGUAAAGAAGCACCGGCUAACUACGUG